rnacentral:rRNA from 1 species
AGGGUUUGAUUCUGGCUCAGGAUGAACGCUAGCUACAGGCUUAACACAUGCAAGUCGAGGGGCAGCAUGACGAUAGCUUGCUAUUGUUGAUGGCGACCGGCGCACGGGUGAGUAACGCGUAUCCAACCUUCCCGUUGCUAGGGGAUAACCUUGCGAAAGUAAGACUAAUACCCUAUGAAGUUCUUCGCAGACAUCUAAAGAGAACGAAAGAUUUAUCGGCAACGGAUGGGGAUGCGUCUGAUUAGGUUGUUGGCGGGGUAACGGCCCACCAAGCCCACGAUCAGUAGGGGUUCUGAGAGGAAGGUCCCCCACAUUGGAACUGAGACACGGUCCAA